GGAUGUAAGAGUGAUCGGGCUGGGACAUGUGUCACCCCACUGAUCACUAGAGUGAUAUGGCUGAUCUUGUUGGCCAGGCGGGUGUCCUCUUCCUCCCUCACUACUCCAUGUGUGUCCCUUGUGAAACUAUGAGCCUUCCGUGAUUGAGGAGGCCUGUUCUUUUGUUAAGGGCAUAGGAAUAGCUUCACUCCCCUUCUAGAACUUCCAGGCAAUCUCUGGGGGUCCAUUUUUAGGAGACCAUAGGGUAGUCAAGCUUCCAAGACUCCCGGUAUAUCUAAAUGAGGCACUGCGUAUGGCUGUCUGUAUUUCUUU
rnacentral:snRNA from 1 species